CCUACGGGUGGCAGCAGUGGGGAAUAUUGCACAAUGGGCGCAAGCCUGAUGCAGCCAUGCCGCGUGUGUGAAGAAGGCCUUCGGGUUGUAAAGCACUUUCAGCGGGGAGGAAGGCGGUGAGGUUAAUAACCUCAUCGAUUGACGUUACCCGCAGAAGAAGCACCGGCUAACUCCGUGCCAGCAGCCGCGGUAAUACGGAGGGUGCAAGCGUUAAUCGGAAUUACUGGGCGUAAAGCGCACGCAGGCGGUCUGUCAAGUCGGAUGUGAAAUCCCCGGGCUCAACCUGGGAACUGCAUUCGAAACUGGCAGGGUAGAGUCUUGUAGAGGGGGGUAGAAUUCCAGGUGUAGCGGUGAAAUGCGUAGAGAUCUGGAGGAAUACCGGUGGCGAAGGCGGCCCCCUGGACAAAGACUGACGCUCAGGUGCGAAAGCGUGGGGAGCAAACAGGAUUAGAUACCCGAGUAGUC
rnacentral:rRNA from 1 species